GAUGAACGCUAGCGACAGGCCUAACACAUGCAAGUCGAGGGGCAGCGGGGAGGUAGCAAUACCUUUGCCGGCGACCGGCGCACGGGUGAGUAACACGUAUGCAAUCCACCUGUAACAGGGGGAUAACCCGGAGAAAUCCGGACUAAUACCCGAUGGCAUAUCCCUUCCGCCUGGUUGGGAUAUUAAAGAACUUCGGUUAUCGAUGGGGAUGCGUUCCAUUAGCUUGUUGGCGGGGUAACGGCCCACCAAGGCUUCGAUGGAUAGGGGGUUCUGAGAGGAAGGUCCCCCACAUUGGAACUGAGACACGGUCCAA
rnacentral:rRNA from 1 species